rnacentral:SRP_RNA from 1 species
GCCAGGCGAGGUGGCGAGCGCCUGUAGUCCCAGUUACUCGGGAGGCUGAGGCAGGAGAAUGGCGUGAACCUGGGAGGCGGAGCUUGCAGUGAGCUGAGAUCCGGCCACUGCACUCCAGCCUGGGUGACAGAGCUAGACUCCGUCUCAAAGAAAAUUUUUUUUUUUUUUCUGAGACGGAGUCUUGCUCUGUCGCCCAGGCUGGAGUGCAGGGGAGCAAUCUUGGCUCACUGCAAACUCCACUUCCCAGGUUCACGCCAUUCUCCUGCCUCAG